rnacentral:rRNA from 1 species
AUUGAACGCUGGCGGCAGGCCUAACACAUGCAAGUCGAGCGGCAGCGGAAGGAAGCUUGCUUUCUUGCCGGCGAGCGGCGGACGGGUGAGUAAGGUAUGGGGAUCUGGCCGAAGGCGGGGGAUAACCACUGGAAACGGUGGCUAAUACCGCAUAAUCUCUAAGGAGCAGAGUGGGGGACCGUUCAGGCCUCACACCUUCGGAUGAACCCAUAUGAGAUUAGCUAGUAGGUGGGGUAAUGGCUCACCUAGGCGACGAUCUCUAGCUGGUCUGAGAGGAUGAUCCGCCACACUGGGACUGAGACACGGCCCAGACUCCUACGGGAGGCAGCAGUGGGGAAUAUUGCACAAUGGGCGCAAGCCUGAUGCAGCCAUGCCGCGUGUAUGAAGAAGGCCUUCGGGUUGUAAAGUACUUUCAGUCGUGAGGAAGGUGUUAAGGUUAAUAACCUUAGCAAUUGACGUUAGCGACAGAAGAAGCACCGGCUAACUCCGUGCCAGCCGCCGCAGUAA